rnacentral:rRNA from 1 species
GAUGAACGCUGGCGGCGUGCCUAAUACACGCAAGUCGAGCGAACGGACGAGAAGCUUGCUUCUCUGAUGUUAGCGGCGGACGGGUGAGUAACACGUGGAUAACCUACCUAUAAGACUGGGAUAACUUCGGGAAACCGGAGCUAAUACCGGAUGAUAUUUUGAACCGCAUGGUUCAAAAGUGAAAGACGGUCUUGCUGUCACUUAUAGAUGGAUCCGCGCUGCAUUAGCUAGUUGGUAAGGUAACCGCUUACCAAGGCAACGAUGCAUAGCCGACCUGAGAGGGUGAUCGGCCACACUGGAACUGAGACACGGUCCAGACUCCUACGGGAGGCAGCAGUAGGGAAUCUUCCGCAAUGGGCGAAAGCCUGACGGAGCAACGCCGCGUGAGUGAUGAAGGUCUUCGGAUCGUAAAACUCUGUUAUUAGGGAAGAACAUAUGUGUAAGUAACUGUGCACAUCUUGACGGUACCUAAUCAGAAAGCCACGGCUAACUACGUG